AGCGAGAAAGGUAAACCCAUCGAAAGGUGGGGGCACAAAGCCACGGGUCCAAGCAAGAGGAUAGCCGAGCUGCCGAAU
rnacentral:ncRNA from 1 species